CGCCGCCUGAGGGGCGGGAUGUUGGGACGCUAAAAAGUUACGCCAAGUCAGGAGAAUGUGCAGACCGAGUCAUGUGAUCAGCUCUGUCUGGGAGGAGGCGUCCCGGAAGCUGCGAUCAGAUAUUUACCACGAUGGUAACGGCUGGCUUGAUGUCAACCCUGAACCUUCAUGAGAUGUUGGAGGAGGCACUAGUGGUCCAUUUUGGGUGCAAAAAAGCACAGCAGAGCAAGCUAGGUGUUCAGCCCCUCAAGACCUGCAUAUUGGCCUCUUCCACAGGGGAGUCUUGUGAGGCCCAGAGAAAAGUACAAGUCUGAGGCAUUAGGAGGAUGUUCAGUGGUCCUCCAUAAAUGGAAAAGCUUUGUACCAGUGUCAGGAGUCACUGUGUGGACAAUGCAGGAGGCCUCUCAAGGAUACAUUGUUUAUAAAGGAAGCUCUUCUGGCGUGGGGAAAGAUAGCUGGCCAGCCUUCACUGGGCCUUUGAGAGGACAUGUGACGUUACAGAUUUUCGCGACCUCAUUGCUUUGGGGCUCUGCUCCAGUCGUUUGCUGUGGUGAACCUGCUCUCUGUUGCCAGCCCCUCCUCCACCCCUCCAUGUUCCUGCUCUUUUCUUCUCGGCCAUCGCUGCUCUGCCUUUCUCUCAACAAGUGCUCUUUUGUUCUCCUGUUUUCCCAUGACCUUUGACUUCUAGGACAGGCCUGGUGUCUGUCUGGAGUUAAGAUCCCCCCACCCCUCACUUUAUACACACACAUGGGUGUCUGCACACACCUAUCUCUUUGUGCUUAACCUGUGACCUCUGAUCACUUCAGACUUAUUUUGGCAAUUUUGUUAGGUAAAGGGGGAACAUCUAAUGUAUUUUCUGUUGUGAUUUAAUAUGAAUCUGUGUCUUAGGCAGCAAAUGUGCUUCAGAUUUUUUUUAAAACGUUUUAUCUGGAGCACAUUUGAAGCCUACGAUACCAACACGUCAUGAUUCCUAUGAUGUAUGAGUGUCUUCUUUAGAUGCAGUUACAGUAAUCCAUUCAAACUUCAUAUCUACACAGCACAUUGGUAACCAACAGCCGAAAAGUUUUUUAAAGAUUUAUACAGAUGUUGCAAGCAAAUGUGCGAAGUAAUGACAGAUCCUUCUUUCCUAUAUCAUGUUGUUGGUUGGGUUGUGAGAAUGAACACCCAGACAACCUUUAGCCUCUGACACAUCUGCAUUUGAAAGAGAGUUCUCCCAGUCUCAGCCUGCGCUCUGGAGAGAGCAAGACCAACCCAGUAAGAGAAUACUACAAGGGGACCUGACUCCAGUAUUCAGAAUAUCCAGGGCGUUGAGAACGACACCCCAGCAGACAUUGGAGUCAGCAGUGAAACGUGAACAAGAGCACACAGUGAAACUACAGAAAGAACAUUUAAAACUUAGGAUGGGAGGCGCUUCUUUACACAAAGGGUUGUGAGAAUAAGGAAUGAGCUUAUACUCGACUUCAUUCGAGAAACCGCUGUAUGGGAUCUUUGGAUCAGUUCACUACUAGCAGCUAAAUGAGCCAGGCUGCCCGACUUGUCUCUGGUAAUUGAUCUUGUGUUCUUGAAAUGACAAAAUAGUAUUACUGCCUCA